rnacentral:lncRNA from 1 species
CCCUAAAAAGCAAACAAAAAAAAGGAUUUCUGGAUGGCGUCUGCAGAGUGAUGAACCUGAGAGCAGGGCCCUGUGUGAGGUGUGCUCACACAGCCAGUCAUGGCUGCCAGACCACAGGCACAGAGUGCCCCCAGGGCCUUGGUGUGAGUGAGAGAAAGGUGCCCUUCCCAUCCUGGAGGCCCAGCCUGGGAGGGUCACAGGGACCGGAUGUCCCCUUGGCAGGGGGACCCGCACAGCCGUCCUUAGUGGCCCUGAUUAGAGACCCCAUGGGGUGGGGACCCCGAUGAAGCCCCAGAAGAGGCAGCUCAGAGGUGGCUCAGUUGAGAAACAUCGUCGUUUCCCUGGCCAGUUUAUACUUAGCCCUCUCAGCAGCGCUUAUGAGGCACCUCCUGUGUGCCUGCCUCACAGCGGCACCCACGCUUUCUCUUUUUGGAGGCUUCGAGUCAGGGGCGCUGGGUACCAGCUCCUUCUGGGGCUUUGGCCAGAUUUCUCCCCUCCCUUCCUCAGUUUCCUCUGCUCCAGCCCCUCAGCAGCUCCUCGCACUGUGAAUGUCCCCACCGUGGCCGAAGAGUCCCCAUAGAGUCCCUCUUCCUCUCUCACCACUGUCCCACAAGCUGGCCGCACACCCACUUUCUGUUCCUCAAAGCUCAUGCCCAUCUCAGGGCCUUGGCACUGCUGUCCCCUCCACCUGAACGGCUUCUCCACCCCCCGCCCCCGGCUUCUCAUGAUUCGCCUUUGCUUCAUUGUGCUCCUGCCUCACUGCCCUCCUCCAAGGCCCUGCUCUCCUCCCACCCCCACCCCCAGCUUUAGUUCCCUCACAGCACCUGCCACCUGUGCAUCCAUCUUACCAGUGGCUUAUUGUUUUCCUGCCCAGGAAGGAGGAACAGGGCCUGACCAGAGUCGGUACUCCAUAAAUAGUCCUGGAAUGAAUUCAGGAUUCCUCGGGGUGCUUCCGGAAACCAGGACACCACCCCUCCCAGCACACUUCGGAGCUGAGGAGCUGAGCCACCGGGAGACCAGGACUGAGUGCCUUUAUACCAGCUGGUUAACCCACGUUGUAAGCAGAGUAUGUUUCCUCCCAAAGGAGCAGACUUUCCAGCACCCAAGGCCUUCAACGCUGAGAAUCUUCAUCCUUAAGUUUGUUUGCUGUGGAAGAAGACCCCUACUGGUCUCCCCAGGUAUUGCAGCCCUCCUCUACCAGCCACUGCAAAUGCCCACCAGAAAGUGA